AGUUAAUGAACUUGUAUAAGUAUUUACUUUGAAAGUAAGCAAAAGGGUGAAAAUCCCUAUUAACUU
rnacentral:tRNA from 1 species